rnacentral:rRNA from 1 species
GUUUCCGUAGGUGAACCUGCUGCCGGAUCAUUACCGAUCAACCUGAAAACUAGGGGGAGGACCUGGCUGGACCUCCUCUGUAGAAUGACGACUUCUUCAUUCCUACAGCCAAUAGCUCAAGAGGGUGCCGUGAUAUUGGCAUGCUGCUUACAGGUGACGUCCCCACCGACUAGCAGGCUUAUUCUUGGGCGAAAAACGGCUUAGUUGGCUUCUAAGUUUCUCUGAGCAGUUGUAUGCCUACGUCCGUGGCUGCGUUGAAGAGAAACGGUACGUGGUCUUCGUGAUCGCGAGAAUUAAUGAGCGCCAGAUGUGGUGCCGCCAACAAAACAACCAUUUUUGAACUUUUUGAGAAAUAACAUUUCUAGUCUUACCGGUGGAUCACUCGGUUCAUAGAUCGAUGAAGAACGCAGCCAACUGCGAUAUAUGGUGUGAACUGCAGAUAUUUUGAACACCAAGAAUUCGAAUGCACAUUGCGCCACUGGAUAUUUAUCCUUUGGCACAUCUGGCUCAGGGUCGUAAACACUAAACGAAAGCUAUUCGUUGUUUAUGACAGACUCAUGGCUACACUAGUUAGGGGGAUGUUCCGCUAGAGUCAUGUUUCUGUGAAGUGGUUUUGCCUACCGGUUGCCUACGGCCGUCUCAUCAUCAUGUCUUGGCUAGUGUAGACGUAUCUGAUGGCUGUACCACAUCGAUUACAUGUAGGCAUGGAUCUUCCGACCUGAGCUCAGGUGUGAUCACCCGCUGAACUUAAGCAUAU